GCCUAUUCAUUUCCUUCUCUACGUCUACGCUUUUUCCCGUUUUCUCCCAAUUAGCCACGACUAAACCCCGUUAUUUGUGGCAACUUCCCACGUGUACACCAACACUCUUUAAUGUUUCUACUCUAAAUACCAAAUAUAGAUUCGCACGUAGAUAUAGUAUAUUUGAUAUUUACACAAAAUAUAUCUUGUAUUCAUCGUCUUUUCCACUAAAUCCCUUCUUUGCCAGACCAAUUAAGACUAGUCUUAGUCUAAACUUAUAUAUCCCGUGGCCGGAUUUAGAUUAGAUCUCUGCCAAUAGACAGCUUUGAAAUUUCUAGUAGGUAUAUAUGCUCAAGACAGCAUUUUAAUGAAAUUAUUCUUUCCUUUUUAUUUUAUGAGAGGAACAGACCUGAGAGAAAAUAUCAGAAGACAUUAAUAAGAUUUCAACCCUACAAUUUUGUGAGAGGAAGAGACUAUGGGGAAUAUUAGUUAAAAUACUAAUGGAGUAUAUGAAUGUGCACCAAUAGUUUUAUCCAGUGUGGAAAAAGAGAGAGACAACAUUGCAAAUAGGAUUGAGCCAUUGAGGCAUGGAAGAAAUCAAGAAAUUAAAUGCGCUUGUGCCUUGUUCACAGGAGACUAAGGACUCCAAUUUUAACCUGGCUUUAUGCAUUGACUAGCCAUGUCAUGGAAUUCUUUAGUAUGUAGCAAUAUUUCACUGUGUCAACUUGAAACUCUUGCCUAAUUAAUAACCAUGAUUUUCUGCUCC